AAUUAAAUUAAUUCAAUUUGCUUAUUUAGUUACCUAAUUUUAUGUAUGUCCAUUCUGUUUUAAAGAUAAUAUAUAUAUUAUACAUAAAAACAGUCUAAAUUACAGUUUCAAGAUUUCAACAAUAGUUGAAGGUAACGCGUAUGUUCAAUUUGCUUAGAUGGUGGUGAAUGUAUCGUAAUAUAAUUAGGAUUUUAACUAAAAAGUAAUAAAGGCACCAUAAAAGAUGGUUCAUUUUAAGUUUGUUGUAAGUUGGUCCAGUGUAGUAUGGAAAACAAAUCAGUCAAUACAUAAAGGUGUUAAACCAGUUUUUCGUUACCUCUGCUGGUGAACUGUUUAGUCCCUAUAGAUAUCAUGAACACAGUAGCUAGUACCAUUUCUUUAGCACCAGAUGCGCAUUUAUCAUUAUGUAUCUAGGGUGCUCGACGCCAAUCUAUUUGAAAGUUCACAAUUUUAUUCAAACGUCGGAACGAUGAUAACACAUAAAAGUUUUUUCACUAUUAUAUUAUGUUAACUGUAACGUUACAUAUAUAACAGAAACCAACCAAUCCAACGCUGUACUGUCUACAUUGUUGUCUAUGUAAAUACCCGGCCCGCGUCAGUAUACACUCCAAAACCCAUUAUGGACGGCGGAGUAUUAUACCGACUGACAUCCGAGGGUCUGUUUCCGUAGGUGUUAGAUAAAGUCUGAAAAUUUUGAUAUAAUAUACAAAGAGAGACAAAAAAUAAUUCCCAAGUAUUUUAACCACUCAUUUGGAGUAUUGUGAAUAUCAUUGUCAAAAAUUUCCCAAUUACAACAAACAAAUGGAAGUUUUUAUUGACCUUGACUGGCUAUACAGCCCUUGCACGGUCAGUAAUUUCCCAAUGCAAUCUUGUGGCAAGUAUAUAUAUCAAUCACCAAUAACGGGACCAUGAAAUAUCAGUGAAUUUAAAAUUAUGACGUAAUUGUUCUCCAGAUAUUGGAGUGAGAGAUGGCAUUUCCAAAAAUGCUAAGUAAGUCCAAAAAUG
rnacentral:lncRNA from 1 species